AGCCCCGAAGUGGAGUACACAUCGAAUUGCAAGUUCGGAGAGGCAACCCAAAAAGUUGCCGGGGCUU
rnacentral:tRNA from 1 species